rnacentral:lncRNA from 10 species
CACACACAGCCUGUCCUUCUACCCUUUGCUGUCUGAUACAGGUUGGCUGUCACCUUGGGCAGGUAGCCUGCCUUUCCCAUCCUACAAGGAUUAGUGCGUUCUAUCUCUCUCUCAUCACAGGGUGAACCUCAUGUCUGUCACAUAAUCUGUCUCCCCAAGAGACUGUGAGCUCUGCUGCGCAGGGCCUGGGUCCCAUCUGACUUUACCCCAAGGGCAUUGAUCCUGCCUUGGGACAUCUCUUCUGUCGUUAUCUUUUUUUUUUUUUUUUUUUUUGAGACAGAAUCUGUCACCCAGACUGGAAUGCAGUAGCAUGAUCUUGGCUCACUGUAACCUCCACCCCCCAGGUUCAAGCUAUUCUCCUGCCUCAGCCUCCUGAGUAGCUGCGCUUACAGGUGCACACCACCACGCCUCCCUAAUUUUUGUAUUUUUAGUAGAGAUGGGGUUUCACCAUGUUGGCCAGGCUGGUCUCAAACUCCUGACCUCAGGUGAUCCACCCACCUUGGCCUCCCAAAGUGCUGGGAUUACAGACGCGAGCCACUGUUCCCAGCCUCAUUAUAUUGAACUGUGCUGUGAAUCUCACAUUACUUUCAGAGCUUCUCAACUUGGGGUCAUGCCAGCCCCAAGAGGAGGAUAUUUCUGAUUGUACAGUAGUGUGUGUGUGGGGAGGUGCUACACAAGAAAGAAUCGCCCUCUCUCAAAUGCCAGGGUACCCCACUGAGAGCCAGCACGGAGGCCUAACCUAUCUGGGGUUUGUGCCACUCCCUCACAUUCAGGCUGUGGGCAGGGGGCUGACUUUCAUUCUCCCCCAGCAUCGAGCCUGUGGUUCAAUGGCUCUUCAGCUGCAGAGGCAGGGGUGCAGAUCAGAACUGCCUGUGGGGCUUCCUUAAAAUACCACCACCCCAGCCUACGUGGGACCUGCCCAGUCUGACUGUGCACAAUAUUUUCAUUGACUUGUUAAUAAAGACUUAAAUAAAACAUCCUUGAGAGAGGCCACCUAGGGUCUUAUAUUUAUGCUCCCAUGUCAAUGGCUGAUAUCAUUUCCUUUCUGAGGCACAGUUUGUUUUGAUGGAUGUAAAGGGGAGAAAGGGUGCCAAAGAAGGCUCAGGGCUAGUGGUGCUUGUGCGUGUGUGUGUGUGUGUUUGCAUGUGUGUGUGUAAUGGGAGCUCAGACGGAGGGUUGGAGACAGGAGACAGUGGGGUGGGAAAUCCAAAUCUCAACUGCUUUUGUACUGUCUCCUGCUCCCGAGUGCCCCAGAGCCCAUCCAGACCCUCUGCUGUCUAUGAUAUCCUGUUCAGCCCUCAACUUUCUCUACCAUCCCUGCAACUGGGGUUCACUGUGAGCCAAACCAGUUUGCUUCUUGUUUUCUAAAAGCAGGCAGCCCUUCAGGACUGUCUCAUUCAAGGCAUUUCCCACCUCUCUUCUCCACUCAUAUCCCUUCCCAAACUGCCUUUCCUCAUUUCUCCGUCUCCAGGGAGAGGGACUCCAGGCUACCACAGACAAAAAUGGUGGUCUUCAGUCCUACGUAAGCCAACCUGUGUGAGUGUGUAAGGACUGAGGUUGCUCACAAGGAGACACACAGAGUGGAUGCCAGAAAGGAUACCCCUCCUAUCCCCAGGACUGGGUCUUUGGAAGAGACCCCUUUUCUGGUGCAGAGAAGGCCCCAGUCCUACUGUGGAGUGAAGUCCCACUCAGAGGCCAAGGGAAGAUGGAAACAUCUCUCAGGGGCCUCCCCACCUGAUGUUGUCCCACCCACCACCAGCACAGAUGGGGACCGGGCCCUGGCCCUUGUUGUCCACCCACCAUCCGAGGUCAACAGACCAUUCUCCCACCCUCCCAUCUUCACCUCCUAAAGGCUCACCUAGCUUCUCAAUGCUCCUUUUCCCCAACUAGGUUCCCG